CAUGUAGGAAUUUAAAAGUUGAACAAACUCCUUAAUUUAACUUCUUCAUUAAAUAAGUAUCCUAAUCCAACAUCGAGGUCGCAAUCAAUUUUAUCAAUAUGAGCUAUCCAAAAUUAUUACGCUGUUAUCCCUAGAGUAUUUUAUUCAUUUAAUCAAUAUUAUUGGAUCAAAUUUUUAAAUAAUUAACAAAAAGAUUCUUUAUCUUUUUAAGUCGCCCCAACUAAUUAUUUUUUUCAAAAAAAUUUUUUUGAAAAAAAUAAUAAAAUUCAUAGGGUCUUCUUGUCCCUUAAUUUUAUUUUUGCCUCUGCACAUAAAAAGUUAACUUCUAUAUUUAUUAAAAAGACAGAUUUAAAUUGUUCUAUCAUUCUUUUAGCACUCAUUUAAAGCCUUAUUUCAAUACCUUCGUAUAGUCAAAAUACCACAGCAAUUUAAUAAUCUCAUUGAGCAGAUAAUACAUUUUAUUAUUUCAAAAUGAAAUGUUUUUGA
rnacentral:rRNA from 1 species